AAUUUCACUCACAGCGGGCACU
rnacentral:miRNA from 17 species